rnacentral:rRNA from 1 species
GUGGGGAAUUUUGGACAAUGGGCGCAAGCCUGAUCCAGCCAUGCCGCGUGCAGGAAGACGCAUCUAUGGUGUGUAAACUGCUUUUGUACGGGAAGAAACACUCCCUCGUGAGGGAGCUUGACGGUACCGUAAGAAUAAGGAUCGGCUAACUCCGUGCCAGCAGCCGCGGUAAUACGGAGGAUCCAAGCGUUAUCCGGAAUCAUUGGGUUUAAAGGGUCCGUAGGCGGUUUAAUAAGUCAGUGGUGAAAGCCCAUCGCUCAACGAUGGAACGGCCAUUGAUACUGUUAGACUUGAAUUACAAGGAAGUAACUAGAAUAUGUAGUGUAGCGGUGAAAUGCUUAGAUAUUACAUGGAAUACCAAUUGCGAAGGCAGGUUACUACUUGUGGAUUGACGCUGAUGGACGAAAGCGUGGGGAGCGAACAGGAUUAGAUACCCUAGUAGUCC